rnacentral:rRNA from 1 species
GAUAAACGCUGGCGGCGUGCUUAACACAUGCAAGUCGAACGAAGUUUUUCUUUCGGGAGGAACUUAGUGGCGGACGGGUGAGUAACGCGUGGGUAACCUGCCCUGUACAGGGGGACAACAGCUGGAAACGGCUGCUAAUACCGCAUAAGCCCUUAGCACUGCAUGGUGCAUAGGGAAAAGGAGCAAUCCGGUACAGGAUGGACCCGCGUCUGAUUAGCCAGUUGGCAGGGUAACGGCCUACCAAAGCGACGAUCAGUAGCCGAUCUGAGAGGAUGUAUGGCCACAUUGGGACUGAGACACGGCCCAGACUCCUACGGGAGGCAGCAGUGGGGAAUAUUGCACAAUGGAGGAAACUCUGAUGCAGCGACGCCGCGUGAGUGAAGAAGUAUUUCGGUAUGUAAAGCUCUAUCAGCAGGAAAGAAAAUGACGGUACCUGACUAAGAAGCACCGGCUAAAUACGUG